UACGAAGGGGGCUAGCGUUGCUCGGAAUUACUGGGCGUAAAGCGCACGUAGGCGGCUUUCUAAGUCGGGGGUGAAAUCCUGGAGCUCAACUCCAGAACUGCCUUCGAUACUGGAAAGCUCGAGUCCGGGAGAGGUGAGUGGAACUGCGAGUGUAGAGGUGAAAUUCGUAGAUAUUCGCAGGAACACCAGUGGCGAAGGCGGCUUACUGGUCCAUUACUGACGCUGAGGUGCGAAAGCGUGGGGAGCAAACAGG
rnacentral:rRNA from 1 species